rnacentral:rRNA from 1 species
CACGUAGGGGGCAAGCGUUGUCCGGAUUUAUUGGGCGUAAAGAGCUCGUAGGCGGCUUAGUAAGUCGGGUGUGAAACCUCCAGGCUCAACCUGGAGACGCCACCCGAUACUGCUGUGGCUAGAGUCCGGUAGGGGAGCGUGGAAUUCCUGGUGUAGCGGUGAAAUGCGCAGAUAUCAGGAGGAACACCAGCGGCGAAGGCGGCGCUCUGGGCCGGUACUGACGCUGAGGAGCGAAAGCGUGGGGAGCAGACAGG